UAGAGUAAUGCGUGACCAACCUGCCCCAUGCUCCAGAAUAGCUCUUGGAAACGGGUGGUAAUGCUGGAUGCUCCAACUUGACGCAUGUCUUGUUGGGAAAGUGUUUAGUGGCAUGGGAUGGGGUCGCGUCCUAUCAGCUUGUAGGCGGGGUAAUGGCCCACCUAGGCUUCGACGGGUAGCCGGCCUGAGAGGGCGGACGGCCACAUUGGGACUGAGAUACGGCCCAGACUCCUACGGGAGGCAGCAGUC
rnacentral:rRNA from 1 species